GACGAACGCUGGCGGCGUGCUUAACACAUGCAAGUCGAACGGAAAGGCCCUGCUUUUGUGGGGUGCUCGAGUGGCGAACGGGUGAGUAACACGUGAGUAACCUGCCCUUGACUUUGGGAUAACUUCAGGAAACUGGGGCUAAUACCGGAUAGGAGCUCCUGCUGCAAGGUGGGGGUUGGAAAGUUUCGGCGGUUGGGGAUGGACUCGCGGCUUAUCAGCUUGUUGGUGGGGUAGUGGCUUACCAAGGCUUUGACGGGUAGCCGGCCUGAGAGGGUGACCGGCCACAUUGGGACUGAGAUACAGCCCAGACUCCUACGGGAGGCAGCAGUGGGGAAUAUUGCACAAUGGGCGGAAGCCUGAUGCAGCAACGCCGCGUGCGGGAUGACGGCCUUCGGGUUGUAAACCGCUUUCGCCUGUGACGAAGCGUGAGUGACGGUAAUGGGUAAAGAAGCACCGGCUAACUACGUG
rnacentral:rRNA from 1 species